rnacentral:lncRNA from 1 species
GUGAGCCAGCCAGGAGUGAAGACGACAGGUUUGCUGUCUCCUUUGCCUGUGGGUCUGGGGCCCCAGCCUGGGGGAGACCCGUGACUCCAGGCAUGCUAUCAGGACAACUUCAACCCGAGGGGAGAUCAGCUCUCCCGCAACCUGGUGCCGCUCUCUGACAGCACAACAGAACCUAAGGGGCUACAGGAUGAUUCAAGGAACAGUGUGCUACAGGACCUCGCAAGAAGACCCUCACCAGAUGCAGCCCCUCUAUGUUGGACUUCCCAGCCUCCGGAAGUUAGAAAUGUGCUACAACCACUCAAGGUCUGCAAACAGAUUCCUAUUUAGAUGUUGUUGAGAGCUGAAUUUCUGGAACAAGAGAUAUAGAUUAAGACUGUUGUUACAUGUUGCCUACAUGACUUUCAAAAGCUUGAUUCCCAGUGGCGCUCUCAACAGCAGUCAUAAACAAUGUUUCGUUCUUGUCGCCCAGGCUGGAGUGUCAUUUUAACUUUUAAAACAUCCUGUUCUGUUUCAUUGCUCCCACAAAUGACUGAGAACAUGACAAAUUUGUCAUUCUGAUACUCUGAACCAGACCUCCAGUUUCAUUUAUGUUGUUGUAAAUGACAGGGUGUCUUUUGAAAAGUCUACACAAACUAUUUAGUUUUUAACCUCAAGGAACUAAAAAACAAAUGAACAAACAAACAAAAAAACUAAGCCAAAAGUUAACAAAAGGAACAAUAUAGUAGUACAGGUUACAGAAGAAAUAAUUGAAAGAGAGAAUAGAAUAACAAUGGAAAAAGAAAAUAAUUCACAGAUCCUUUGAAAGAAGCAGUGCACUGCUGCAAAUUCUGUGAAACAGGUGAAAAACUUUGACUUCCCAAAGUGUGAGAGGGGGUAAACCUAUCUCCAAAACACAUCCCCACUGGGGAAUUUAAAACUCUAGAUCAUGCAAGAAGGAUUUACCCUUACCUAGAGCUGAAACAGACUUAGGGAGUUGUGUGAAAUAUGAAAGUAGAAGUAGCAGUGGGAAGUGCCUUGCAGAUACUCACAGUCUCCAGCUGGAGCCCAGGGAAGCCAUCCUUGACUAUACCUCACAGAGCCCCUCAGGAAACAGUCAGCAGAAUUGGGGAGGUGUUUCAUGGCAAAGGAAGCAUCCAACUAAAAUUGGUAGUGGUUUUGACUGGGAACAAUUUUUUUUCAGUGGAGUCUGGGGAACAUUCAAGAGCCGCUGCAGAUAAAAGUGCAGGAGUGCAGCAGCUGCCCAGACAAAGUGGGCAGAUGAGGAGGAGCAAGGUUUGAAAAAGAAAGCUAUGCUUGCGUUCUCAGCAGGGAAGCCCACAGCUUGGGGCAAGGUCUGAAUGGGGCACUUGGGGACUCAGACUGGCUUUGUGAACUGCAUGGAAGCUAGGUGAGGCCUCUCUCUAUAGCCUAUCCACCACUUCCCUGGUGAACUAUAUGACACAGCAGAGAUGACCAAGAUCCCCUCUGGAACAUAACCCCACUGGACUGAAAACCACUGCUAAAUCACCCAAGUGGCUGUGGCAAGCCCUGCCUAAAGAGAGUUUGAGCCCAGAUCUGCCUAACCUUGCCCACCUGAUGGUAUUUCUCUACCUGCCCUCAUAGCCAAACACAAGAGACAGAAACUCUUGGGAGCUUUAUAGCCCUGCCCAUCUCCUUAGAAAUCAAAAUAAUCACCCUAGCCAACUUAGGGCAAGCUUAGAAUCCCCACUACUGCUGCAGCUGGUGCUUUCCAAAAAGCACCACCUCUUUGCUGAAGGACAAAGAACACAGGCCACUACAGCAACUCAUUACAGAAUAACCCUGACCCAGGAAGGAAAAUACAAUACCUAAUUUGACUUCCUGCAACAUCCUGGUUAAAGAGUUCCUGAGUGUGCUCAUGUGACAACUUCACUGCUGGCAUAGCCAGCAUUUGAGAAAGCCAGCACACUUAACAUAUCUACAACCAGACUCACGUAGUCUACUUCAUUGCCCUGCCACCUCUACCAGAGGAGGUGCUGGUAUCCAUGGUUGGGAGACCUGAAGAUGGAUCCCAUCACAGGACUCUUUGCCGACAUUCUCCAGCACUAGCCUGGCGCCUUGUAGCCCUGCUGGGUAGCUAGACCCAGAAGAGAAAUAACAAUAACUGCAAUCUAGUUCUCUAGAAGUCCCAUUCCAUAUUAAAAAAUGCUCAACAUCACUAAUUAUCAGGGUGAUGCAAAUUAAAACCACUAUGAGAUACUACCUUACUCCUGCAAGAAUGGCCAUAAUAAAAAAAAUCAAAAAAUAAUAUAUGUUGGCAUGGAUGUGUUGAAAACGGUAUACUGUUACAGUGAUAGUGGGAAUGUGAACUAGUACAACCACCAUGGAACAUAGUAUGAAGAUUCCUUAAAGAACUAAAAGUAGAACUAUCGUUUGAUCUGGCAAUCCCACUGCUGUGUAUCUACCCAGAGGAAAAGAAGUCAUUAUAUGAAAAAGACACUUGCACAUGCAUAUUUAUUGUGGCACAACUUAAAAUUCAAUAAUAUGGAACCAGUCUGAAUGCUUAUCAACCAAAGAGUAGAUAAAGAAAAUGUGGUAUAUAUACACCAUGGAAUACUACUCAGCCAUCAAAGGGAAAAAAAAUAAUGGCAUUCACAGCAACCUAAGUGGAGUUGGAGACCAUUAUUCUAAAUGAAGUAAUUCAGAAAUGGAAAACCAAAUAUCGUAUGUUCUCACUUAUAACUGGAAGCUAAGGUAUGAGGAUACAAAGGCAUAAGAAUGAUAUAAUGGACUUUGGGGACUCAAGGGGAAGGGUAGGAGGCAGGUGAGGGAUAAAAGACUACCCAUCGGUAUGUGGUCAAGUGAUCUUCAACAAGGGUGCCAAGAAUACACAAUGGGGGAAGGAUAGACUCUUCAACAAAUGUUGUAAAAGCUAGUUAUCCACAAGCAAAAAAAAUUAAAAGUAGAAUCUUAUCUCACAAACAAAAAUCAACUCAAAAUGUAUUAGUGAUUUAUACAUAAGACCUGUAACUGUAAAACUCCUAGAAGUCAACCUAUGAGGGAAUCUUCAUGACAUUGGGCUUGGGAAUGAUUUCUUGAAUAUGACACCAAAAGCACAGGCAAUAAAAACAAAGAAAAAAGUGGUACUAAAUGGAACUAAAGCUUCUGCACAUCCAAGAAAAUAACAGAAUGCAAAGGCAACCUAUGGAAUGGGAGAAAAUAUCUUUAAACCAUGUAUCUGAUAAGGGAUUAAUAUUAAUCCAAAAUGUAUGAGGAACUUCUAUAUCUGAACAGAAAAAACCCAAAUAACCAGAUUUUUAAAAAAUGAUCCAAGUCUUGAAUAGGUAUUUCUAUAAAGAAGAUACACAAAUUGUCAACAGGUACAUAAAAAGAUGCUCAACAAUACUAAUCAUCAAGGAAAUGCAAAUCAGAUAUUACCUCACAUUUGUUAGAAUGGCUAUUAUCAAAAACAAAACUAAUGUUAAAGUGUUUGUGAAAAUGUGAAAACAUUGGAAACGCAUACAUUGUGGGUAAAAAUCCAAAAUGCUGGAGCCACUGUGGAAAACAGUAUGGAGGUCUCUGAAAAAGUUCUGAAUAGAAUUACCAUACAAUCCAGCAAUUCCACUAUUGGGCAUAUAUUCAGAAUAAUUGAUAUCAGCAUCUUGAAGAGAUACCUAUACUCCCAUGUUUAUUGCAGCAUGGAUUUAAUAGGUGGGUCUUAGCCUAUUUUGUGGGCUACUGUUCAAAGCACAGUUUAAGAGCCCUUGUGGUGGUGCCACUGGAAUUCUCAAUGGCUCCCUCUGGUGCUGCCUAAUGGCGUUAAGGGAGCUUCUCCAAGCUACGCUUCUGAAUGUCUCUUGGUGGGGGAUGGUUUUGAUAUGGGAUUUCCCCAAUGCUUUCUCCAACUAUCUCUGCGUAUGGGAGGAGGGUCUCAGCAUGCAGGGACAAAGAGGCUUUCUGCCUUGGGCCAGUUGCUGUACCUGUGUCACUAGCCCAUCAACUAUGAUGUCUCUAUGCCGGAGAUGAUAAUCUUGAGCCUGUGGGUAAACAUGCUUGCUGUGACUGUAUCCCAUUUUCUAGUUCUUCUCACCCUCGUUUCUAUGUAGGAUGGAAAUAUAGCCUUGGGUUUUUGGGGAAGAAGAGGUUUCUCAUUUUUCAGCGCUGUCUCUUUUUCUAUCUAGUAACUCUAGAUAGAAAUCACUGCUUUAGUGAUUCUGGGCAUGUGGAUUGGGAAAGUCUCAGGCCUGGAAGAGACAGGAUGCUUUCCUGCCAAGAGUCUCAAUCAAAUUGUCUGGCCCAAGAUGCCAGGAUCCCUUUAUGUCAUAGGGUCUUCUAUUCAUUCCCGAGGAUGAAAAAAAUGACCAGGGUGCCUUUUGCUGUUAGAUUUGGAGUCAGGAAAUCCUGGGCCUGGAAGGCCUUCCAUUGUUUGGUGGGAUGACCAAGACAUCCUGCUUCUUUGUUGUUCCUCCAUUUCUGGAGUCCCUUACCAGUUUUCCUUCUUCUUACCACCUUUCAGAAUUUUUUUUUUUUUUUGGUUGCAUCUUGGAUUAUUUCCAGGGUAUAAAGUUGUGUUUAGUAAAUAAGAGAAGGGAGAAAUAACUCUAUGCCAUCUUGUAAGAUCUAUGAUUAGUUAGCUUUUUUAAAAAAAA